AAUAGCAGCUUUUGAUUUGAGAAACUUCCUAGAUGAUAUAAGCUGUGAGAUUGAAAGACCCCCGAAGGGAGACCCUCACUCAAGCCUCGGGACAGCCGCGGACCCAAGAAGACACUGAGACCG
rnacentral:pre_miRNA from 7 species